AUGACGUCAAGUCCUCAUGGCCUUUAUGCUUAGGGCUACACACGUGCUACAAUGGGUGGUACAAAGAGCAGCCAACUCGCGAGAGCGCGCUAAUCUCAAAAAGCCAUCCUCAGUUCGGAUUGGAGUCUGCAACUCGACUCCAUGAAGUUGGAAUCGCUAGUAAUCGCGGAUCAGCAUGCCGCGGUGAAUACGUUCCCGGGCCUU
rnacentral:rRNA from 1 species